rnacentral:rRNA from 1 species
GACGAACGCUGGCGGCGUGCUUGACACAUGCAAGUCGAACGGUAAGGCCCUUCGGGGUACACGAGUGGCGAACGGGUGAGUAACACGUGGGUGAUCUGCCCUGCACUUCGGGAUAAGCCUGGGAAACUGGGUCUAAUACCGGAUAGGACCAAUGCCUGCAUGGGUGGUGGUGGAAAGCUUUUGCGGUGUGGGAUGGGCCCGCGGCCUAUCAGCUUGUUGGUGGGGUGAUGGCCUACCAAGGCGACGACGGGUAGCCGGCCUGAGAGGGUGACCGGCCACACUGGGACUGAGAUACGGCCCAGACUCCUACGGGAGGCAGCAGUGGGGAAUAUUGCACAAUGGGCGCAAGCCUGAUGCAGCGACGCCGCGUGAGGGAUGACGGCCUUCGGGUUGUAAACCUCUUUCAGCACCGACGAAGCGCAAGUGACGGUAGGUGCAGAAGAAGGACCGGCCAACUACGUGCCAGCCGCCGCAGUAA